GAUGAACGCUGGCGGUAUGCCUAACACAUGCAAGUCGUACGAGAGUUUUUAACUCUAGUGGCGGACGGGUGAGUAACACGUGAGAAUUUGCCUUUAGGAGGGGGGACAACAAAUCGGAAACGAAUGCUAAUACCCCAUAUGCUUUCGAGUGAAAUGGAUUUUAUCCGCCUAGAGAGAAGCUCGCGGCUGAUUAGCUUGUUGGUAAGGUAAGAGCUUACCAAGGCGACGAUCAGUAUCUGGUUUGAGAGGACGAUCAGACACACUGGAACUGAGACACGGUCCAGACUCCUACGGGAGGCAGCAGUGGGGAAUUUACG
rnacentral:rRNA from 1 species